UGGAGCUGAAAUCAGUCGAAGAUACCAGCUGGCUGCAACUGUUUAUUAAAAACACAGCACUGUGCAAACACGAAAGUGGACGUAUACGGUGUGACGCCUGCCCGGUGCCGGAAGGUUAAUUGAUGGGGUCAGCGCAAGCGAAGCUCUUGAUCGAAGCCCCGGUAAACGGCGGCCGUAACUAUAACGGUCCUAAGGUAGCGAAAUUCCUUGUCGGGUAAGUUCCGACCUGCACGAAUGGCGUAAUGAUGGCCAGGCUGUCUCCACCCGAGACUCAGUGAAAUUGAACUCGCUGUGAAGAUGCAGUGUACCCGCGGCAAGACGGAAAGACCCCGUGAACCUUUACUAUAGCUUGACACUGAACAUUGAGCCUUGAUGUGUAGGAUAGGUGGGAGGCUUAGAAGUGUGGACGCCAGUCUGCAUGGAGCCGACCUUGAAAUACCACCCUUUAAUGUUUGAUGUUCUAACGUUGACCCGUAAUCCGGGUUGCGGACAGUGUCUGGUGGGUAGUUUGACUGGGGCGGUCUCCUCCUAAAGAGUAACGGAGGAGCACGAAGGUUGGCUAAUCCUGGUCGGACAUCAGGAGGUUAGUGCAAUGGCAUAAGCCAGCUUGACUGCGAGCGUGACGGCGCGAGCAGGUGCGAAAGCAGGUCAUAGUGAUCCGGUGGUUCUGAAUGGAAGGGCCAUCGCUCAACGGAUAAAAGGUACUCCGGGGAUAACAGGCUGAUACCGCCCAAGAGUUCAUAUCGACGGCGGUGUUUGGCACCUCGAUGUCGGCUCAUCACAUCCUGGGGCUGAAGUAGGUCCCAAGGGUAUGGCUGUUCGCCAUUUAAAGUGGUACGCGAGCUGGGUUUAGAACGUCGUGAGACAGUUCGGUCCCUAUCUGCCGUGGGCGCUGGAGAACUGAGGGGGGCUGCUCCUAGUACGAGAGGACCGGAGUGGACGCAUCACUGGUGUUCGGGUUGUCAUGCCAAUGGCACUGCCCGGUAGCUAAAUGCGGAAGAGAUAAGUGCUGAAAGCAUCUAAGCACGAAACUUGCCCCGAGAUGAGUUCUCCCUGACUCCUUGAGAGUCCUGAAGGAACGUUGAAGACGACGACGUUGAUAGGCCGGGUGUGUAAGCGCAGCGAUGCGUUGAGCUAACCGGUACUAAUGAACCGUGAGGCUUAACCUU
rnacentral:rRNA from 1 species